GGUUGUGUGCGAGUGGCUUCUCUGGAAGCUCAGAUUGGAGAUCUCGAGAAGCAAAUCGCAACUUUGAGGGAGAUUGACAAUCUUGAGAGGAGUCUACUGCUCACUGAGCAGAGUUUAGUGGGGACAGGUAGUGGAGAUGGAGGAGAUAAGACAGAUGGGGAACAGGCAUGUAGCUGGGUGACAGUGGGGCGAGGAAGCAGGAGGGGAGGGAAGAGGAAAGGGCUAGCUAGUCCUGAUAGCAUCAGCUCAGGAGUAGCUGUAUUAGAGGAAGCUGUUACUUCUAACAGCCGAGCUAACAGCCCCCCUAGUACGGGUGGGGAUCAAAAUGUAAGGAAGGCAAGACAGGUUGUGGUGUUA